ensembl:snRNA U2 U2 spliceosomal RNA
AUCACUUGUCCUUUUGGCUAAGGUGAAGUGGGUUAUCGGUUCUUAUCAGUGUAAUAUCACACACAUCCUCUCUCUGAGGACAGGACAGUCAAAACAGACGUUUGGAGCUGGGAGGCAGAAUGAGAGCUUGCACUGUCCACCCACUGCAUGCAGCGAUCUGCUAUUGCGGCACCUCCAGCAAUGGUGCACCCCAC